ensembl:lncRNA
GGGGACCUGGACGCAGGCAGGGGCGGGAGCGGCGGGGCGGUGCAGCAUCUAGGCCUUCCCUUUCCUGCCUCCGGACCCCGUGAGGGGCGCGCGCCUCUCCCCGCCUUCCAGCAGUCCUAGUAGGGCCCGGGCGAGUCCGCGUUCUGCAGCGGGAGGUCCUCGUCGCCCCUCGUCUCCAGCCAGCACCAAGAGGAUGGUGGCCCUUGGCCUCCUGGUGCAGAGCAUCAGUCCCGCGCUGGGAGUGUGGAGAGAUGUGUGGGAAGCAAGCCGUUCUUGAGGAAGUGGGGCCCACAGAGAAGUCAGCAGCCCCUUAGCCCUCACGCUUCCAAGGAACAGAACGAUGGAGAAGCCUGCAGGCAGAAAAAGGAAGACGCCGACCCCGAGGGAGGAAGCAGAUGUGCAGAAGGGCAUACUCAGAGAGGAGAAGGCGUCCGGGGACAGAAAGCCACCCGAGAGGCCCACUGUGCCCAGGAAACCCCGCACAGAGCCCCGCCUGAGUCCUGAAGACGAAGAGCACAUCUUUGAUGCCUUCGACGCUUCAUUUAAAGAUGACUUUGAGGGGGUUCCCGUGUUCAUUCCUUUUCAGAGGAAGAAACCCUAUGAGUGCAGUGAGUGUGGGCGGAUGUUUAAGCACAAGACAGACCACAUUCGCCAUCAGAGGGUCCACACGGGAGAGAAGCCCUUCCAGUGUGUGCAGUGCGGGAAAGCCUUCCGGCACAGCUCCGACGUCACCAAACACCAGAGGACUCACACAGGAGAGAAGCCCUUCAAAUGCGGGGAGUGCGGGAAAGCCUUUAACUGCGGCUCCAAUCUCCUGAAACAUCAGAAGACGCACACCGGGGAGAAGCCCUACGAGUGCACGGACUGUGGGAAAGCCUUUGCCUACAGCUCCUGUCUCAUCCGCCAUCGGAAACGCCACCCUCGGAAGAAGCCCUGAGCUGGGGCCGUCUGUGGACUCAGGCCCUACAGUGCGAGCCUCGCCGGCCGCCUGCUCCGUGGCUCCCUCGUGUUCAGCGUCUGGUGGGGGCACAGGGCCAUGUGCACUGUGUUCCGUGCCCUGGGGACCCCCGGAAAAUCAGCCUGGUCAGAUGUGGGAACGUGCAAACGAGCGAGCGACCUUUCCACUGCAGAGAAUCUCUUUGGAUCAAGACACUGCAGUAAUGUAGAAGCCACGAGAGGCUCCUUGCAGCCACAGACCAUUUUCCAGGUUCUUCGAUGGCUCACGGGGCUCAGCACCAGAGAGCAGGGUGUGUUCACUGCCAUCCGUGGGACGGGUUUGGGUCACCUCAGAGCACCCAGCAGGAGAGGCUCCUGGUGUGGCGGGCGGCCGAGCACUUCCCGCUGCCACCUGCCUGUGAUGUCCUCUCUGCUUAAGCCUUUCAUCUGCCGCUGAACGCCCCAGUCUGGACACUCUGCUCUCUGGGUCCCCGAGCUCUGCAGCGAGCCCCAGGACCACUCGUCCCUUCCCAGCCUCUGUGCCCGAACUGUGCUUGCUUCUCUGGCUUCUCUCCUCCUGCUGGAGCGCCAGUCCCUGAGCUCAGACCCCGUCCCUGGAACUGGGCCACACCCCGCGCCCUCUUGGCCCAGCCUUGCUCCCAGAGAGGCGGCCUGACUUACCUGGAUGGACUCGGGACAAAGGUUCCUCAGGACCUUGGACACCACCACCUGCUGAGCUUCCUGCCCCAGCCACGUGGUGGGGCCCCUGGGGUGCCCUCAGCAGCUUCAGUCCAGCCUGCAUCUGCCCCUUGGCCUUCCGACGUUAGCGGUGGGCCCCAGCCCCACGGAGCAGCCCAGUAUUCAGGGCCGAUAAGACGGACCCCCAGUUGUGGAAUGACAUCUCACCAAAUGCCGGCCCCGGGUCAUGCCCACAGACACACCUGCAGCACAGAUGGCAGGACCGCCUCGGCCUCUGUAGGAGCGGGCAGGCUGGUAGAGCAGAUCACCCCCAAAGCAGGAAGUUCCACAUCAAAUAUGCAUAAGAAGCAACCUCAAAACUAACAAAAAGAUUCGCACACUCCUCAGUUCAGAGGAGGAGCAGAGAUUAAGAAAAGGAGAAGAAAAGCGCUCGGAAGAGAAGAAAAGGAACCUCCUCCUGUGUAGCAGGCGCCUGGCCCGGGGAGGGCGGUGUGCGGCAGGCACGUGCAGGGGAGCAGCCUCUGAAAUGCCUAGAAAUAGCUCCCAGGCGUUCACUUGGCUCCCAAACAUCUUCAGAGGUCAAAACCAUCACAGUGGGCAACUUUCCACCAGUGACCCCAGUGUUCACUGUCCUCAGCCCACUGCAGAGCCAUCCUAAUGGGGCAGUGGACGCAGGGCGCGGGCUCCUGACUCCAGUGAGGCCACCCUGGAGGGAGUCCCAGGAAUCAGCCUAAUGUUCAGAACCUUCCCGGCAUCUCAGAAGUGUACUGGGGGAGACGUGAGGACCCUUCAGCCAAGUGUCAGCAUUCUCAUUGCAGGAGAACAUCAAAGCCGCAACCCAGAAACUUCUCAGGAGCAUGGCGCACCCACACCAGCCCCGGGCUUCACCUGGACAGCACCUCCUGGGCCACCCUGACCAGCGGGCACCACCCUCCCAGGCUCACGCAGCCACCCUGACCAGCAGGCACCAUCCUCCCAGCCUCACGCAGCCACCCUGACCAGCGGGCACCAUCCUUUCAGCCUUGCUCGGCCACCCAGACCAGAGAGUGGCCCUGACCAGCAGGCACCAUCCUCCCAGCCCCACUCACCUGCCGUGACCAGCAGGCACCAUCCUCCCAGCCUCACUUGGCCAGCCGAGCUCUGUGGGCCUCAGAGUGCAGAGUACCUCAAAUGUUGUGACUUUGCUCGGCUGCAGGGACGUGCCAUGGAGUGUCCCUUGUGCGAGCAUUUUGUGAGCUAUGCCAGCAUCUGUCCCCACAGGCUGCAUCCCUGAGCCAUUUCUCAGGAGAGCAGGAAGUGAGCAGGGGGAGGGGCGCUGCCAGCCAGCCCUGGGACCAGAGGUCUGGGGAUGCAGCCAGCCAGCCCUCCUCAUCUGGGCCUCUGUUUCCUCUUUGACACGGGGAAGCAGGGAGGGGCCGAUCAGCGACUGAGGCUCGUUGGCUCUGGUGGGGUCCACCUGCGUUUCUGGAGAGCCCAUGGACCCCGGACUGUACCCGGACUUCAUUCCCAGUGACCUCUCCUAUUGGUCCCCAUUUGGGGCACUGAGAUGUGACCGUUUCUUUCCUGUGAAUGAGCUGACAUCAAAACAUGCUGCAGAGGAAGAUAGGCCUUAGGGACAGCGUCCUGCGCCUCUGCACCAGGAGAAAAGCCAUGUCCCCAAGGGAGACUCAGAGCUGAGGUGGUGGUGGGCAGGGCUCCUGUGGAGCUGGGGCAGGGCAGGGUGUCUCUGAGGUCAGUGAGGAACAGCUGAGCCCAGGGAUGCGGGAAGGAUGGGGGUGCACUCUGGGAUGGGGCCGGCAGGGAGCCUCGUGCUUACAGAGCCUGGUGUUGGCACUCUCCUGGUUUCCUCUGCAAACCCAGCCACAUGGUCAGGGAGCCCGGGCCGAGCAGACGGCCCCCACCUUGACAGAAUCCCAGGGUCGUGCGUGGCAGUGGGAGCGACCUCACAGCCAAGACUGGGUCUAACGCUGCUGUCCCACAGUCACCCCUGCAGGCGGCUCAGGGCAGGGCUCUGGCCUGAUGGGGGUUCCUGGACAUGCCUCUGAGCUGGCAGCCCCUACUUCACCUGGACAGGUGCACAUCCCUGCACCCCUGCACCUUCCAUGCCUCUCGCCCUGGGGCCCAGGUUCAGGUUUGUGGGGAGUACAGCACCGUGCUCCCGUGGCCACCGCUCAGGCGAGUGGAUUCAGUGAGAGUUUUCAGUGUGUGCACCUCUGUCCCCGUGUGCCUGUUUCCUGGUGAGGCUGGACACCUGGCAUGUCCGAACACUCUCAUUCCCCAGGCUGGGCACCUGGCAUGUCCGAACACUCUCAUUCCCCAGGCUGGGCACCUGGCAUGUCCGAACACUCUCAUUCCCCAGGCUGGGCACCUGGCAUGUCCGAACACUCUCAUUCCCCAGGCUGGGCACCUGGCAUGUCCGAACACUCUCAUUCCCCAGGCUGGGCACCUGGCAUGUCCGAACACUCUCAUUCCCCAGGCUGGGCACCUGGCAUGUCCGAACACUCUCAUUCCCCAGGCUGGGCACCUGGCAUGUCCAAACACUCUCAUUCCCCAGGCUGGGCACCUGGCAUGUCCGAACACUCUCAUUCCCCAGGCUGGGCACCUGGCAUGUCCAAACACUCUCAUUCCCCAGGCUGGGCACCUGGCAUGUCUGAACACUCUCAUUCCCCAGGCUGGGCACCUGGCAUGUCUGAACACUCUCAUUCCCCAGGCACGCAUGUGCAGCCGCCGCCACCCGUGUACUACGGCGCUGACCCCUCCUGUAACAGCUGUGGUCUUGGCCUCUCGUGUUGGGGCAGAUGUCCCCUUUUCCACUGUUACUUUCUGUUGUCCAAAACUUUAAGUGUCCUGCCAGCCAAAGCUGUUGAGCAUGACUCUGAGACCAUCAGUCCUUGGUAAGUGUCCUGUGCAUUUGGGAUAAGCGUCUGUUUGCAGCUGCGCUUCCUGUGACUUGCUCUGCGUGUCCUCCUCGGUCCGCGUGGGCCACUGCGCUGGUUCCCAGCCUGCCCGACAUGCUCGCUGCGACACCUCCCUUCCCUGCUGCUUGCUGGCUUCUGUGUUCUCUGCAGUAAACAUUGAUUUCUGACUC